AUUCUUUCUACUGCCACAGUAGUGCUGUUUGCUUUGCUAAAUGGCUUCCUCUUUUUGCUGACUUGCCUUGAGGAAGAUACGUUAUCUGACAGAAAGGCUCACGGCCUCAGAGACAGACUGAAGACGCUAAACAUGAGAAUACUAGGAAAGAAGUUGGCCUGUUCUAUAGCCUCAGGAUGGAGAACACACAUCAAAGUACACUUCAUGUUUAAUGGAAAAGUCCAAGCUUCGAUUGACGUGCACCCUUAUCGGGAUUGAAUGAAUUCAGAAGAAUCUUACUGAAAUGUUCUCUGCUUGCUUCUGAGUCACAUCUGCUUUCUCUUGGAGCUGCUCACACCAAAAGGAAAAUGACACUGUCAGCAUGUUAUAAAGGAAAAAAGCCCUCACAUUAUUGUGAUCAUUGUGCUGAAAAUGUGGUGCUGGUGACAGAGGACUUUCUACGGUCUAUUUCUUAAAGGGACUGAUCCCAAGUAGAAUCACUGGAGAAUAUCCAGUUGAUCUUCUUGGAUCUGUUACUCAGAGUCUGUAUCUUUAGGUCAGUACAGUGAGCUCUUGAUUGUUGAGAACCUGAUUAUCCACCAUGUAGAUUAUCCAGGACUCUGAUUUCUGGUACUACUCCUUUUAAACAACCCCACCAUAUUGGCACAUUUGUCAGAAAUGGAGCAAAGAGAAGAGAAGACAUUCAAAUUUGCCCACUUCACUGAUUGGUAGUGGCUCUUGGAAAAAAUAUGAUAGGGUAGCAGCCAGAUGAAUUGUUAAAAUGAGGUUUUUGAUCAGUUUGAAUUUCAUUGCUCUGAGCAGUCCUCCUUGCCUAUUACUCCAGGUUAUAUUAAUCCUUCUUCUUUGCACCAGGAAAAUGAUAAUCAUACAUUAAGUAUCGCCUGUGAUAUUAAAGGUUAAGGCUGGCACCCUAAGAAAAAUUUCAUAUUUACACAAUUGCUUCACUUUUUUUGACAAUUUUUAUAAUAUUCAAGGAGACUCAUAAGAAUUAAGUCUCGCAAAAGGAGAGGAAAAAAAGAGGCGAAAAAAGAGGGGAUAGGGUAAGAGGAAUAGGACUCUUGAGAUUGCACCUCUACAUUUAUUGCAGUCUCCAGAGUAUUGUAUUCACUAGACAAUCAGUGAUUCUCCCCAUCCUGCUCUCCUCCUCCCCAGCCCAAGGUAGUCUCAAUAAAUGAACUUCCCUAUCAAAUGGUCUCCUAGGCUACAAAGGUUAGAACAGAUGCUAUCAUUCUGAGAAUGAUCUGUUUUUUUAAUAAAGCAAGUUCCAAAUUGAGGUUGUGUUUGAUGACAAAAGAAAAGAGAACAUGAACCUUAUAUUUCAUCCAUGUCUUCAUGUUUGAUUUAAGAAUUUACCCAAGUACAGGUGCCUUAAAGUUAGAGACGUGCUGGUGAUUGGACCAUCAGCUUUAUAUAAAAGUUGAAACGAGGUGAUUUGAAAGACUUAAUUUUCUAUAUUUGAAUGUGUUUUUUUCAGUAGCUUUUAAACUGUGGUUUUAAACUUUGCGGAUAAUCAAGACUGAAUAACUCAUAACACCUACAAUCAGUAUGUAAUCAGAUCUGAUGAAUGCACUUUCACACAUACUUAUUAGGUUUC
rnacentral:lncRNA from 1 species